ACUCCUACGGGAGGCAGCAGUGAGGAAUAUUGGUCAAUGGGUGCAAGCCUGAACCAGCCAUCCCGCGUGAAGGACGACUGCCCUAUGGGUUGUAAACUUCUUUUGUAUAGGGAUAAACCUACCUCGUGAGGGUAGCUGAAGGUACUAUACGAAUAAGCACCGGCUAACUCCGUGCCAGCAGCCGCGGUAAUACGGAGGGUGCAAGCGUUAUCCGGAUUUAUUGGGUUUAAAGGGUCCGUAGGCGGACUUAUAAGUUAGUGGUGAAAGCCUGUCGCUUAACGAUAGAACUGCCAUUGAUACUGUAAGUCUUGAGUAUAUUUGAGGUAGCUGGAAUAAGUAGUGUAGCGGUGAAAUGCAUAGAUAUUACUUAGAACACCAAUUGCGAAGGCAGGUUACCAAGAUAUAACUGACGCUGAGGACGAAAGCGUGGGAGCGAACAGGAUUAGAUACCCUGGUAGCGACUGA
rnacentral:rRNA from 1 species